rnacentral:lncRNA from 1 species
CAAUAACGCAAACACAGCGAUGCCAGGUAAGACUGGAAAACUGCGCGGACCAGCAGUGACAUCGCUUCAUUCCAACUACUGAAACUUGGGACUGCCACCGGGAUGUGCCAUCUCCCCUCUCGUGUCCGUCAACCCACGGUUCCUAAAACUAGCUGGGCCAUGUGGUGGCGCUCUCUCUCUCGACCACGUUGGGUAGUGGAUGCUUAGCUGUAUGGAUGUGAUUUUUUUUUUCGGUUCUGGAACAUCCCCUAAAAAACCAUGACUUGGAAAGCUGACUGUAGCUGAGAUGGGAACGAGCACUUAAGUUUACCUGAGACCCUCAAGCCCCUCACAGUCUUCUUAAUAGUAAUCCCACACGUGAAAACCCACCCAACUGAACGCCCUGGCAGGCCUUGUUCCAGUAAGGGUAUCGGCGUGUUGUCCAAAGGCUUCCUAUUCACACACCUCCGACAGUUUACACCCUCUGAACCAGAGCUCCUCACAGCGUAAUGUACACACAGAUUCCUGGGCAUCUUGGUAAAACUCAGACGCCGAUUCAGCAGGUCGGGGGGUGGCCUGAGACUCUGCAUUUCUAAGCAACUCCUGAUGGUGCUGACGGGCUGGUCCGCGGGCCACACUUCGAGUAGCAAAGUCUAAGUGUCAGCCAGCGCAGGAAGCGUUCGUUAACCCCUGGCAGCUCUCAGUGAAAGUAUUAAACAUCCGUCUGGCAACGUUGAAAUCUACUUGUGUAAGUGAAGACGACGAUCCUCACUGACACACCUGUGCUGAGACUAUGCGCGUGCACGCACGCACAGGAAGGAGAAAUAGGCAGAUGCGUUUGGACUUGGGGUGACAAGGCUUUCAGAGAAUUUCAACUUUAAAGUCAUCAGAUGUUCGUGCAAUAAACGAUUUUUUAAAAAAAGUACUUGAUCCAGACAGCAGACUACUGGAGGGGACUGUUGGCGGUCUGCUGUAAAAGGGCGCUUUAGAACUUCCUCCUUUUGAGAACCGUUCACGGUUCCAUGAGAAAAGCCUGGAAGUUGGUACGAUUCGGGUAGUAAUGGGGCUGAGAGAAAACCAGCUCUUACCAGUUAUUUGACAGAAAGCGAUCCCGUCAGCGGAGGGCGGUCCCCUUCCUGGUGCCACGUGGGAGGGGAGCAUUGUGUUCCUGUGGGGCCGGCCACCCAGCUGCUCGCAGAGUUUGGUGGCGUCGCCACAGCGCCGUGCGGCUCUCGCUGGCGUUCUGUCCUGGACUGGCGCGUGCCUGUUUCCCCAACCCCAGCCAUCCCGAAGAGGGAAGUGGUCCCGCUCUGAAGGCCAUGCCCUUAAGUGGCAGGACUGUGUUCAGCCACGGAGGUGCCAUCGAGUCAGCAGGGAGGUUCCCGGGGACCACUCCGAAGGGGGUGUGGUCCUUUGGGUGCAGAAGCUCCGGCUUAUUCAAGACAGCAUUAUGUUGACUUCGGUCAGGCUUUACUGUGCCAGGGGCGAGACCCCCAAGCUGGCUCAGCAGCUCUGACAGCCUCUCUCCUCAUAGGUGCCCACCGUGUGCGGGAGGGUUGAACUCAGUGUGCUGGCUGGCAGGGCUCGACGUGCGCGUGUGUACAAGUCAGCUGAGGCUCGUGGUGGCACCCUGCCCUCUGACAAACCAGCGGGUUCCUCUUCUGGCCGAGAGAAUUCGCUUGAGUUCCAAGAAAAGCUCCAAGUGCAAGGAUCCCCAACAGCUGCGUUUCCCAGGUGCCUGGAUCGGCCAAGUGAAGCCAAUGGGAGGCACUGGAGGAGAAGCCAGGUGCUCCCUCCUCCCCUUCGGGCUACCUCUCUGGUGGCCUCUUGUCUCCUCCAUGGUCCCAGCUUCCUCCAGCCAGGCCUCCGUGUUCUGGAAUCCUCC